rnacentral:lncRNA from 1 species
GGAAAGUGGGGAGGGGCAGGAGAAGUGGCUCCACGCCUCAGCCUGCCCAAGCGGGGCGCGGGCGCGCGUGGAAUGGGGACGCCUCGAGAGUCACCUGAGGCCUCUUAUCCCGGCGUCACCAAGUCGCGAGGAAGGAGGAAACUGGCACAGGGCCUAAAAGGGAAGUCCCAUGGAAAGCGCUGGGCUUCCUUUCACGCCAUAGGGUUAGGUUCGGGGGGCUUUUCAAGGGUAAGGCGAGGCGGCGCCUGAUGCCAACAGCUCUUCGGCUCCUGGUCCCGUGUCUGUAAGCUGACUUACCUCAGGAGAGGGGGAAGGGAAGGCGCGCUGAGGGCCCGCGCUCUCUUUUCUUUCCUUCGCAGAAAGGAAGAUUUCCUCCCACCGCCACCGCCAUCACACCAUCCUUCUUCAGCCUCUUUCCUCAGGGACAAAAUGCCGAACCGUGGUCAUGUUAGCCUGUAGGAGCUAACAUGAAGGAUCCUUCUGGGAAGGAUCCUUCCCAGAUGCCACCACAGGCUCCCUUCGAGUUUUAUGCAGUAUCCCCUCAUGACCCCACACGUACGCCCCGCCAGUGAGUUCAGCAGACAAACUUCCCCAUAAUCCGAUGAUCCUGCAGCAGCCAGUGGUUAAACCUGCAGGGUGCUUNCCCCCCACUAGAAUGGCGAAGGACGGCCGCAGCAGGUCUCGCUGCCCCUUCCUGAUCUCCAGCACCCAAGGGAGACUCGAGGGCACGUCAGGAGCCUUUGGGCGGGACACGAAUGAUAGAACAGUUAUCUUUCCUUGAGAGCCUUGCAGCCCGUUAUUCGCUUUACACAUAAAAUAAAUCAUUUUUUUUCUUUCCAGACCAGAGCGCCUGCCGAGUUGCCAGUGCUGCCUGCUUCAAGGAGGACGGGGGCGUUUUCAGACGUACGCGCUGUCCCCUAUGUUUGUUCAGGACUUGUGUAGUCUUUCCUCAUACAGAUGCUGAAAGAGGCAACCGAACAGGUAACUGGGUAGAUGCAUGUUGGCUGAGCUUGUUGAAUGUCAAUCUCUUCUUCUCCCCUAUGGGACUGAAGUCUCACCAGCAUGGAUCCCAAGAUUUGUUAGAGGGCCUGAAUUACCUACAGCCUAUGCUAAAAACUGCAGCAGUGCUUAUUGGUAGCUCUGGGAGGAAGAGCACCAACAUUUUAAAUCAUUGGACCCUCAAGAGAUCCAACAUACCCUGGUUAACAAGUUCAGACAAUUGCAGC